UACGGGGGGGUGAAGCGUUGUUCGGAAUUACUGGGCGUAAAGGGCUCGUAGGUGGCCAACUAAGUCAGACGUGAAAUCCCUCGGCUUAACCGGGGAACUGCGUCUGAUACUGGAUGGCUUGAGGUUGGGAGAGGGAUGCGGAAUUCCAGGUGUAGCGGUGAAAUGCGUAGAUAUCUGGAGGAACACCGGUGGCGAAGGCGGUUCUCUGGGCCUUACCUGACGCUGAGGAGCGAAAGCGUGGGGAGCGAACAGG
rnacentral:rRNA from 1 species